GACGAACCGUACGAACGUUAUUCGGAAUCACUGGGCUUAAAGGGUGCGUAGGCGGCGCUGAAAGUUGGGUGUGAAAUCCCUCGGCUCAACCGAGGAACUGCAUUCAAAACUACAGUGCUUGAGGGAGACAGAGGUGAGCGGAACUUACGGUGUAGCAGUGAAAUGCGUAGAGAUCGUAAGGAAGACCAGUGGCGAAGGCGGGUCUCUGGACAGUUCCUGACACUGAGGCACGAAGGCCAGGGGAGCAAACGGG
rnacentral:rRNA from 1 species